GUGGUACAGAAUAAAUUGAUUGUUAACAAUCCCAUCAAUACUUCUUUCAUCCUGAUUUCAAUAUGUCUGGAUUAUUACCUAUGAAGCUGUUAUCUAACAGAGUAUAUUGACCUGGACUGUCAAGAUUGGAAUAGUUUUCAAGCACUAUGGGUUAUGCCACUUCAGCUGGUAUUGGGUCCAGAAAUUUACCAUGACUUGUACAUGACACAAUGACUAGACUGUAAAUUCUCUGACCUAAUCAAUGGAUUACCCUCUUAACUGAUCGCACUAAUGGAAGAUGCUGGAAAAUAGGAGGUGGAAAUCCAAUGGAAGGAAAGUUACCAGAGGCAUGCUCUAGAAGGACUUCUCUUGUCCUUGGUUCCUUCUUGUCUUAUAACUUCUGCUCUCCAGCUGCCAUGAGAUGAGCACGUCUUUUCCUCCACAUCCUCUGCCAUGACGCUCCACCUCAUCUCACACUUAAAAGCAACAAAUAGUGAUGUGUGGACUGACACUCCCAAAGUCCUAUGCUGAGGGGUGACUUCAUAGAGGCCUAGCGUGACAAACUGUGGCUCCAAGAACAGCAUGGACAAUAACCAUUAGUUUUGGUUGCAGAGAACAGAAUGGCAAAUGGCCCUGAGGUAACUGGUGUUUCUGUAUCUUUAGGU